rnacentral:rRNA from 1 species
AGAGUUUGAUCCUGGCUCAGGAUGAACGCUGGCGGCGUGCUUAACACAUGCAAGUCGAACGGAGAUAAACGGCGAAGAGAUUUCGGUCGAUUCCUGUUUAUCUUAGUGGCGGACGGGUGAGUAACGCGUGGGUAACCUGCCCUGUACAGGGGGAUAACACUUAGAAAUAGGUGCUAAAACCGCAUAAGCGCACAGUACCGCAUGGUACAGUGUGAAAAACUCCGGUGGUACAGGAUGGACCCGCGUCUGAUUAGCUGGUUGGAGGGGUAACGGCCCACCAAGGCGACGAUCAGUAGCCGGCCUGAGAGGGUGAACGGCCACAUUGGGACUGAGACACGGCCCAAACUCCUACGGGAGGCAGCAGUGGGGAAUAUUGCACAAUGGGGGAAACCCUGAUGCAGCGACGCCGCGUGAGUGAAGAAGUAUUUCGGUAUGUAAAGCUCUAUCAGCAGGGAAGAUAAUGACGGUACCUGAGUAAGAAGCCCCGGCUAACUACGUGCCAGCAGCCGCGGUAAUACGUAGGGGGCAAGCGUUAUCCGGAUUUACUGGGUGUAAAGGGAGCGUAGACGGCAUGGCAAGUCUGAAGUGAAAGGCGGGGGCCCAACCCCCGGACUGCUUUGGGAACUGUACGGCUGGAGUGCAGGAGAGGUAAGUGGAAUUCCUAGUGUAGCGGUGAAAUGCGUAGAUAUUAGGAGGAACACCAGUGGCGAAGGCGGCUUACUGGACUGUAACUGACGUUGAGGCUCGAAAGCGUGGGGAGCAAACAGGAUUAGAUACCCUGGUAGUCCACGCCGUAAACGAUGAUUACUAGGUGUCGGGGGGCAGAGGCCCUUCGGUGCCGCAGCAAACGCAAUAAGUAAUCCACCUGGGGAGUACGUCCGCAAGGAUGAAACUCAAAGGAAUCGACGGGGACCCGCACAAGCGGUGGAGCAUGUGGUUUAAUUCGAAGCAACGCGAAGAACCUUACCCGGCCUUGACAUCCCCCUGACAGCAUAUGUAAUGUAUGUUCCUUUCGGGGCAGGGGAGACAGGUGGUGCAUGGUUGUCGUCAGCUCGUGUCGUGAGAUGUUGGGUUAAGUCCCGCAACGAGCGCAACCCUUACCCACAGUAGCCAGCACAAAAGGUGGGCACUCUGUGGGGACUGCCAGGGACAACCCGGAGGAAGGUGGGGAUGACGUCAAAUCAUCAUGCCCCUUAUGGCCGGGGCUACACACGUGCUACAAUGGCGUAAACAAAGGGAAGCGAGAGAGUGAUCUUAAGCGAAACUCAAAAAUAACGUCCCAGUUCGGAUUGCAGUCUGCAACUCGACUGCAUGAAGCUGGAAUCGCUAGUAAUCGCGGAUCAGAAUGCCGCGGUGAAUACGUUCCCGGGUCUUGCACACACCGCCCGUCA